rnacentral:lncRNA from 1 species
GAAAUCCGAAAUUUUGGUCUAGCACUUCCGGUCUCCGGAGAGAUGCUCGAUUCGUAUCAAACAAGUCGUAUAAGCCGAGAACUUUUCGCGGACUUUACAUCGAUACGAAUCAGGAAGAAAUCGCGACAGGAAAAACGAUAGCCGGUUAGUCACCGCACAAUCCUUAAACCGAAAGUAAACCUAGGUCUUGCCCUAAACCCAGCGCACUGGUCUCUAACAUCUCAAAGGCAUGAUAUCGAAAGAUAGGAGAUUCUUAAACCAUGCCUCUAUGUUUAUGUUCGACACCUUCAGCACCCCCGCAGAGUUCACAUCUCGCGGAAGAACUCUCGAAACAGAUCUCGAAUAAAACAUUUCACAAUCGAAGAAGGAUAUGAGACGACAACUCAUCACCUUCUCCCCACUAUUCACAAAUUCAAAAAAAAAAACGUUAUCCGAUUAUCGUACCAUAAAAAAGAAAGCCGCGGAGCGUCAGGGAUUCAAAGCCACACACGGCCAUCCCGAAAUACAAACAAGUCCAUUCAAGGCCGAAACAUAAAAACAUAAAAAAAAAUCUCUCGCAAGAGAUCUAACCCAAGUCACCCUCAGAACUUACGCCCCCUCUUCACCCGCUGCCUCGUCCGAGCCUGGAGCCGCGUCGCUUCCGUUCUCUCCGACCAUCAGGUCUUUCCCCUCUGGGUCUUCUGAACACGUCGGAAGGAAGCACGCGGAUUUCAGGUCGGCCAGGAUGAGACCGAAAUCUCCAUCCUUGGCCGCCAUAUCUCCCUUGCAGCCGGACAGUCGGGCCUCUUCGGCCUCCAAGGUCAGGGGAGUCUCACUUUGAGACGACCGAACUACGGCCAUCCCGCC